CCCACAUAGCAGCUCCGUUUUUCUUUAAGUGUGACGUCAUUCAGUCGCUGGGGGGUUCGCUUGAGCGCGGGCACGUGCGCUGCUUUACCGUCCGAAGGCACGACGUUCCAUCAGCACGCUGACGUCGUUUCCCUGAGUCACCGCGGGGCAGCGGCGCUCUGCGGCAGCUCGUCUUCACCUCAACGGCCCUCCGGCUCCUGAUGACCCACGUGGGUCCGAGCUGCCGCGACAUGACAGCUUUAGCCCCGCCUCCCGCACCGCUGACCACCAGUAGGAACUCAUCUCCCGCUCAAUCCCCGACCAAUCACAGCAGCCCUCCAGAGAAGGAGGAGGUGCUGCGGGACAAGGAGCGCCGCGCCCAGCAGCAGCUGGACCGCUGCGCCGAGGAGCGAGGGAGGAAGAUGGAGGUGCAGAAGAGGAAGGAGCAGCAGCGCCGGGCGGCCGCCGGCGAGAAGAGGCGCCAGCAGCAGGAGGCCGAGAAGGUCAGAGGCCGCGGCGCGUUAACGUAGUGAUGUCACAGCUGUGCUUAAUGUUCAGAAUGCCGAGGACCAAAAUUACUGCAGAUCUACAAAAUGAAGUAAACAAGCUCAAAGAUCGAACCAGUGACUUCAUGAGAUUAAUACAAACAAAAAUAUGGAAACUUGAAAAAAAAAAAAACUAAUCCCACCAAAAUGUUUACAUGCUGAAUUUGUAAUAAAUCAUAGUUCCAUUAAUCAUUUGUAGGGUUUGCUGCCACGUGAUCACCAUGACGAUCAUAACAAUUUAUUACACAUGUUUUCAGGUGUCAAUACACAGAAUAUAUAAAUAUAUCUGAUAUGAAACAUUAAUUAGUGCAUCACGACAACUUUCUCACGGCUCCUUCCUCUGAAAAAUAAUAAGUUUGCCUGUUUUUUCUGCCGCAGAAUGAAAUCCAAAGAGAGUGAAUUUAUAAUCACACAUCAGCCAGCGAACGAGGGCAUUGAUUCUUUCAUCCGUUUAUUGAUUUCUGGGCUAAAUCUUCAGGCGUCUCUUUCUGGUUGUGAUCUGUAAUUAUUGGAGCCACUUCAUGGUGUUUAUACGCUUUUUAUUUAUUGUUGCCAAAGAGCUCCAAUGAACAUGAUCAAUCACAGAUUAAAUACUCAUAGAAAUCUCCAGUUUAUUGCAGAGAAAAUGAGUAAACGGCGGCUCGUCAUCCUGCCCCCCCCCCC
ensembl:lncRNA